rnacentral:rRNA from 1 species
GACGAACCGUGCGAACGUUGUUCGGAAUCACUGGGCUUAAAGGGCGCGUAGGCGGGCUGACAAGUCUGGGGUGAAAUGCCGCGGCUCAACCGUGGAACUGCCUCAGAUACUGUCGGCCUCGAGGAAGGUAGGGGCAUGCGGAACUGUAGGCGGAGCGGUGAAAUGCGUUGAUAUCUACAGGAACUCCGGUGGCGAAAGCGGCGUGCUGGACCUUUUCUGACGCUGAGGCGCGAAAGCUAGGGGAGCAAACGGG